rnacentral:misc_RNA from 1 species
GUUGAGUUGAGUUGAGUUAAUGUCUGUCUUGCAUUGCAUCUUUUGCUUUUGUUUCUCUAUAUAUCUGUGCAAGACAAAUUUCUUGAAGAAUGUAAUAAUGGCUUCAUUGCAAUAACUCUUCAAUGAUGAUUGUUGUGUAAAUACUACUUGACAGUUUACACUGUACUCAUUUCAAUCUAUAACCAUUUGCAUAACUUGCUUUGAAACUUGAAUACCGUUUCCAAUGUUUAUAAAACAAUACAAAAUCGCCUCUUUUUUUAUGAUCUCACUAUAAUAUUUUCUCUCACAUGCACAUACAAGUAUAAAUGAUAUCAUUAUGUAUUUUUAAUAGUUCUCUCAAAAUGUGUAAACCACUUAUCUCAUAUGCUCCCAUUCAAAUAGAGCAUAACGAUAAAAGGGUGGAAGUAACUGCAU